rnacentral:rRNA from 1 species
UUGCCCUAGUAACGGCGAGUGAAGCGGCAAUAGCUCAGAUUUGAAAUCUGGCGUCUUCGGCGUCCGAGUUGUAAUCUGUAGAGGAUGCCUUUGGGUAGCCACCGGUCUAAGUCCCCUGGAACGGGGCGUCACAGAGGGUGAGAAUCCCGUAUGUGACCGGAAGGGCACCCUCCACAAGGCUCCUUCGACGAGUCGAGUUGUUUGGGAAUGCAGCUCUAAAUGGGAGGUAAAUUCCUUCUAAAGCUAAAUACCGGCCAGAGACCGAUAGCGCACAAGUAGAGUGAUCGAAAGAUGAAAAGCACUUUGGAAAGAGAGUUAAAAAGCACGUGAAAUUGUUGAAAGGGAAGCGCUUGCAACCAGACUUGUUGGCGGUGUUCCGCCGGUCUUCUGACCGGUCCACUCACCGUCUGCAGGCCAGCAUCAUCUGGGGCCGCCGGAUAAAAGCGAGGGGAACGUAGCUCCCCCGGGAGUGUUAUAGCCCCUCGUGCAAUACGGCGAGCCUCGGGUGAGGUCCGCGCUUCGGCUAGGAUGCUGGCGUAAUGGUCGUAAGCGGCCCGUCUUGAAACACGGACCAAGGAGUCUAACAUCUAUGCGAGUGUUCGGGUGUCAAACCCCUACGCGUAAUGAAAGUGAACGGAGGUGGGAGCCUUAGGGUGCACCAUCGACCGAUCCUGAUGUCUUCGGAUGGAUUUGAGUAAGAGCAUAGCUGUUGGGACCCGAAAGAUGGUGAACUAUGCCUGGAUAGGGUGAAGCCAGAGGAAACUCUGGUGGAGGCUCGCAGCGGUUCUGACGUGCAAAUCGAUCGUCAAAUUUGGGUAUAGGGGCGAAAGACUAAU